CCUUCUCCCCACCCUGGCAGAAACCACUCACCUGCAUCUUUUGCUGGUGCUCCUCGGUGCCGCAGCGCCGCACUUUCUCCACCAGCCCCGAGAGCAGGUUUGAGCUACAAAUGCAGAUUUCGGAGCCAAAGGAGGAGUGGCACCAUUUUACCAUGCACUGCACUAACCCAUCAAUCCAAGAAGAAAGUUCUAGUACAGAUGGGAAUGUCCUUGUCACGGCCAUUUCACUUUCUGGGACAUCAACUUCAAGGUCUAGCAGUGAGUGACAGUCAUUUCCCAAUGAACACAUUUCCCUUCUGGGGAUUGAAAACACACACCCGAGCGUCCCCUGGUCUCAGAUUCCUGUUUAAGUGCUCCUGGCAUCUCCUUCCUUUCAGCACUCACUUCAGUUGGCAAUGGAUGCUCAAAUAACUCAGUUCCAGGGGACCAGUUUCAUGUGCUACUGAACUUCUCAGCCCUCAACUUCUCAACCUCCCUCCCCAGGGCUCCUUAUAUGAACCAUCAUGAGCAGGCCUGUCAGGCAGUCUGUCCUGCCCUGUGAGAUUCCCCAUGCCACCCCACCAGGCAGCCAAGAAUCCAUUAUGUUUGCAUUCCGCCAGCAUCCUUCAGCUCCCCACACCCAGGCGCCAAAACCAGAAGAUUUCUGCAAAUAUUAACAUUUCUGGCUGCCACUUGUUUGCCUGUUUAUCCUGAGCUGUGCAUGAAACCUCUCUGAUACUCCACACGCAGCAUGGGCUUGGCCAGAACAGCUUUGUCCUCUCAGCCUUCUCUGUGAUGGGUUGUGUGUCAGCCCCCAGCCCAGUGCUGGUCACUGUGUGCAGGAAGUCUGGAAUGCUCUUCUUCACUUGGAUCUCUGGUUCAGGGUGCUGAGCAUUCAUAGAUGUGCUAAGAUGCCCCUUCAGAGCCUGAAACAUUUGCAGAUUUUGAUUUUUAAUGUUUAUUUAGGUUUCUGACCUCAGCUCUCUAUAGGAGGGGUGUGGCAAAGGUCGUCAUGACCUCGGGCUGGGAAGGCUUGGCUACUCAGGAUGCUGGAGUUUUGUCCAUUAGCAUCCACAUUCCAGGCUGAGAACACAGUAGCCAUGAAAUCCAUGCCUGUGGUCACAUCACAUACUCAUAUUGCUUUUUCCUGGCUGGGCUGAGGCUGUUUGCUAUAUUCAUUACUUACAUUAGAGACACCUACAGAGCCCAGUUCUCUCCCUGAUGUCACAUAUGAAAGUCUUCAGUCCAUUCAGUGGAAAUGGAAAGAAUUAAUUUACCAUCACACAGCCUUCAAGAGCCAAGGGACGUUUCUGCAGAAGAUUCCACAAGAACAGUAUUUCUCAGUGCAGCAUUUCAUACACGGCACAGGCUAUUAGGCAUAAAUGUCCCCCUUGCUAUUUAUUUUACACUUUGCUAUCUGAGAAAGAUGCAGAUGUGCUCCAAAAUCUCAUUCAUUUUGGAGAAACUGAGACUCCACACUGCCUGCAGCUCAGCAGCCUCAGCCUGGAUGUACCUUCUGUGCUCCCAAGAGGAUUUAAAAGCAGCUCUUUACAACCUGGCUCUACUUCUCCUCCCUCCACAUUCUUACGUCCAUACACUGAAAGCUGGAGCCUGAGAAUCACCAAAGUGGUCACCAGAAACAAAAUGAAAGAAAUUCAGUUGCUGUUGAGUGAAAGAACCAUCUCCU